GUAAAUAGUUAAAGUACAAAAGGUAAAAUAAAUAAACAUAUAUUUGGGUUGUAUUUACAAUGGUGUUUGUUCUUCACUGGUUGCCCUUUUCUUGUGGCAACAGGUCACACAUCUUGCUGCUGUGAUGGCACACUGGUAUUUCACCCAGUAGAUAUGGGAGUUUAUCAAAAUUGGAUUUGUUUUCAAAUUCUUUGUGGGUCUGUGUAAUCUGAGGGAAAUAUGUGUCUCUAAUAUGGUCAUACAUUUGGCAGGAGGUUAGGAAGUGCAGGUCAGUUUUCACCUAAUUUUGUGGGCAGUGUGCACAUAGCCUGUCUUCUCUUGAGAGCCAGGUCCGCCUACAGCAGCAAGGCUAUGUCCACUGAGUCUGUACAAGGUCAAAGCGUUCCUUAAUUUAAGUUUGGGUCAGUCCCAGUGGUCAGGUAUUCUGCCACUGUGUACUCUCUGCAUGCCUGCACACACAGCCAGAGAAGCAGGUUCUGACAUUGAGAAUUCUAGUUUUCUCUGUUUUUUGUUAAUUCUUUCCAAUGUGUCAAGUAAUUAUCUUUUUGUUUUCUCAUGAUUUGGUUGAGUCUAAUUGUGUUGCUGUCCUGGGGCUCUGUGGGGUCUGUUUGUGUUUGUGAACAGAGCCCCAGAACCAGCUUGCUUAGGGGACUCUUCUCCAGGUUCAUCCCUCUGUAGGUGAUGGCUUUGUUAUAGAAGGCUUGGGAAUCACUUCCUUAUAGGUGGAUGUAGAAUUUAACGGCUCUUUUCUGGAUUUUGAUAAUUAGCGGGUAUCGGCCUAAUUCUGCUCUGCAUGCAUUAUUUGGUGUUUUACGUUGUACACUGAGGAUAUUUUUGCAGAGUCUCAAUUUGGUGUUUGUCCCAUUUUGUGAAUUUAUGGUUGGUGAGCGGAACCACAAGACCUCACAACCAUUAAGGGCAAUGGAUUCUAUAACUGAUUCAUUGUAUUUUUAGUCAGAUCCUAAUUGGUAUGUCUAAUUUUAUAUUACUUUUGAUGGCAUAGAAUUCCCUUCUUGCCUUGUCUCUCAGAUCGUUCACAGCUUUGUGGAAGUUACCUGUGGCGCUGAUGUUUAGGCCGAGGUAGGUAUAGUUUUUUGUGUGCUCUAGGGCAACGGUGUCUAGAUUGUAUUUGUGGUCCUGGCGACUGGACUUUUUUUGGAACAGCAUUAUUUUUGUCUUACUGAGAUUUACUGUCAGGGCCCAGGUCUGGCAGAAUCUGUGCAGAAGAUCUAGGUGCUGCUGUAGAACCUCCUUUGUUGGGGACAGAUCUAGGUGCUGCUGUAGGCCCUCCUUGGUUGGGGACAGAUCUAGGUGCUGCUGUAGGCCCUCCUUGGUUGGGGACAGAUCUAGGUGCUGCUGUAGGCCCUCCUUGGUUGGGGACAGAUCUAGGUGCUGCUGUAGGCCCUCCUUGGUUGGGGACAGAUCUAGGUGCUGCUGUAGGCCCUCCUUGGUUGGGGACAGAUCUAGGUGCUGCUGUAGGCCCUCCUUGGUUGGGGACAGAUCUAGGUGCUGCUCUAGGCCCUCCUUGGUUGGGGACAGAAGCACCAGAUCAUCAGCACAUAGUACACAUUUGACUUCAGAUUCUCUCUAUCACAUGGGGGAUUAUGGCAAGAACAGCUCAAAUAAGCAAGAAAUGACAGGCUAUCGUUACUUUAAGACAUACAGGUCAGUCAAUGUGGAAAUUUCAAGAACUUUGAAAGUUCCUUCAAGUGCAGUUGCAAAAACCAUCAAGCGCUAUGAUGAAAUUGGCUCUCAUGAGGACCGCCACAGGAAAGGAAGACCCAGAGUUACCUCUGCUGCAGAGGAUAAGUUUAUUAGAGUUACCAGCCUCAGAAGUUGCAACCCAAAUAAAUGCUUCACAGAGCAAGUAACAGACACAUCUCAACAUCAACUGUUCAGAGGAGACUGCAUGAAUCAGGCCUUCAUGGUUGAAUUGUUGCAAAGAAACCACUACUAAAGGACACCAAUAAGAAGAAGAGACUUGCUUGGGCCAAGAAACACGAGCAAUGGACAUUAGACCGGUGGAAAUCUGUCCUUUGGUCUGAUGAGCCCAAAUCGGAGAUUUUUGGUUCCAAACGCAGUGUCUUUGUGAAACGCAGAGUAGGUGAACGAAUGAUCUCAGGGUGUGGUUCCCACCAUUAAGCAUGUAGGAGGAGGUGUGAUGGUGCUUUGCUGGUGACACUGUCAGUGAUUUAUUUAGAAUUCAAGACACACGUAACCAGCAUGGCUACAACAGCAUUCUGCAGCGAUAUGCCAUCCCAUCUGGCCAUCCCAUCUCCAGGCUGUAUAAGGGCUAUUUGACCAAGGAGAGUGAUGCAUCAGAUGACCUGGCCUCCAAAACCACUGACCUCAACCCAAUUGAGAUGGUUUGGGAUGUGUUGGACCGUAGAGUGAAGGAAAAGCAGCCAACAAGUGCUCAGCAUAUGUGGGAACUCCUGCAAGACUGUUAGAAAAUCAUUCCUCAUGAAGCUGGUUGAGAAAAUUCCAAGAGUGUGCAAAGCUGUCAUCAAGGCAAAGGGUGGCUACUUUGAAGAAUCUCAAAUAUAAAAUAUAUUUUGAUUUGUUUAACACUUUUUUGGUUAGUACAUGAUUCCAUGUGUUAUUUCAUAGUUUUGAUGUCUUCACUAUUGCUCUGUGUAGAAAAUAGUAAAAAUAAAGAAAACCCCUUUA
rnacentral:lncRNA from 1 species